rnacentral:lncRNA from 1 species
UGGAAAAAUAAUACUCUUCUUUCUGUUUACUAGCAUCACAAUGCUUGCAUGUCCUAGGAAAAGCUGAAAUCAAAAGGCAAAAAUUUAGCUUGAAUAACUGACAUAUACAAUUUGAUAUUUUACCUUCAAAAUUUAGGCGAAACUUUGAAACCCGCCUUUGUUUUGGAUUAAUUCUUGCUGAAACUGAAAUGUUCUGAUUUUGAAGUUUCAAGCAAAACUAUAACGCUUGUGUAACAAUGAAGGGACUCAUGCCUCGUUGAGGGUCUCUUUUAUGGAUAGAAGUUUCAUUUGAGUGGGGGAA